ensembl:lncRNA
CUGAGCUAUACAAACUGGUAUCAAGGAUGUCGAGCAGUCUUGCAACAACCAUGCAAAGGGCUGGGGGAAGUAAAGGAUCCAUUGGAAAAUCAGAGAUGGUGGUAGCAGCGAUGAUAUAGGAAGAACUUCCCUAAGGACUAUGGAAAAGGACUUCAGAGCCUUGGAGCAACAGACUUAAUAAAUGGCAUGGCUAGCACUGAUGAAAUGAAAUUGUAGUGAAACAAGGUUGAUAGCCUGCUUUUGAAAGGUGUAGCACUAGAUCAGAGUUCAUCUAUUAAAACCUUCACUCUGAAUGAUCAACUGAUGUACAGGAUUUCUGCAUCGUGCUUUGUCCUCUGAAGAGUUGCUUUAAAAUAAUUAACAAUGAAUCACAGAAGGGUUGAAGCUGGAAGGAACUUCUGGAGGAUCAACCCCUGUUCUAGCAGAG